CCUACGGGAGGCAGCAGUGGGGGAUAUUGCACAAUGGGGGAAACCCUGAUGCAGCGACGCCGCGUGUGGGAAGACGGUCCUCUGGAUUGUAAACCACUGUCCCCAGGGACGAAAAUGCCGUUACCUGGGGAGGAAGCUCCGGCAAACUACGUGCCAGCAGCCGCGGUAUUCCGUAGGGAGCGAGCGUUGUCCGGAAUUCCUGGGGGAAAAGGGAGCGUAGGCGGGGAUGCAAGUUGGGUGUCAAAACUACCGGCUAAACUGGUAGUCGCACUCAAAACUGCAGCGCUUGAGUGAAGUAGAGGCAGGCGGAAUUCCUAGUGUAGCGGUGAAAUGCGUAGAUAUUAGGAGGAACACCAGUGGCGAAGGCGGCCUGCUGGGCUUUGACUGACGCUGAGGCUCGAAAGUGUGGGGAGCAAACAGGAUUAGAUACCCGGGUAGUC
rnacentral:rRNA from 1 species